GCGCCCCCGGCCCGCCGACGGAGACCCGCGGGGGGAAACGAGGGGAAGACCGGACCGGCGGGUCCACGCCCUCCCCUUCAUCACCCUCCAUCGCCAUAGCGGGGCCGGGUUGAGGAGGAUGAGGAGGAGAAGGGAAGGGGGGGGGUGUGCGUGUAGCGGAGUAGAGGGCGGGCUCAGCGUCUCCUCCUGAGGGGGACUACUUGACGUGUCGGUGCGGCGAAUUUAUUUCCCUUUGCCUAAGGAACGGGUAGUGCUGCGGCCCCCAUUGCCUAGGGAAAAAGCCCGGAUGUAAAAGUUGGCUGCAUUGAAUAGCAGAGCUUUGAAUUUUAUUGAGGAAACCAUACAGCCAAAACCUCAGAACCAUUCUGGGACCCACAGGUUUUCACCCUGUUUCUCAACCACGAGAAGGAAAGCAUAGCCAGUGAGCAGCAGCUUACUCAGGCUGGAAGCCAGUCCAUGCCAGCACUCACUGGAUUCCAUCCACUUGCCACAGCCCAUCAGAGAUCCCCCAAGUGACAGUGACAAAGAGGUGUCUUGUGAUCCCAAUUCAUGCACACGCAGGGCAAGAUCCACACCUUCCAAUAGUCAAGCACAUAAAGGAGCUGCAACCGCAGACUGAGCUGGUUCACCCAGGAGAUUGCCUCACUUAGAAGACCACGUCCACUCUCCUUUCUUGAAAUGGUCUUGCAGGAUGGAUGCUUUGGGUUUCUUCCUGACUUCAGCUGGGGCUUCAGAAGCCAAGUUUGUGCUGGGGCUGGUGCGCCUGGGGCUUUGUUCCUAUCGUCUUCCAGGAACCACUCUUCACUUCUGAGAAUUAUCGAGUGCUGGGACUGAGGUGGUUUCUGGUGGGCAGACAGAGCGGAUGAACCUGACCCGUUUAGCAGGAACACACUGAUCUUGUCAGGUAUUUCUGACCAAGCAUCCAAUGGGUCCGUUUCAGUUGGGGUCAAUAAAACUUCACUUCCACACGGUGAAAAGUCUCAUUUACAUUAUCUUAAAGAAGACAAACGUGAAGUUCAGUUCUCCAGCCUUGUCAAAACAAGGGUCUUCAACCAGGCUGCUGCUGAGCCUCCUGGCACACCCUACUGAU